UACAGAGGUCCCAAGCGUUGUUCGGAUUCACUGGGCGUAAAGGGUGCGUAGGCGGUCGGGUAAGUCUGAUGUGAAAUCUCACAGCUUAACUGUGAAACUGCAUUGGAUACUAUCCGGCUCGAGGAAUGGAGGGGAGACUGGAAUACUUGGUGUAGCAGUGAAAUGCGUAGAUAUCAAGUGGAACACCAGUGGCGAAGGCGAGUCUCUGGACAUUUCCUGACGCUGAGGCACGAAAGCCAGGGGAGGCGAAAACGGG
rnacentral:rRNA from 1 species